UACAGAGGGUGCAAGCGUUGUUCGGAAUUAUUGGGCGUAAAGCGCGUGUAGGCGGCUUUGCAAGUCGGGUGUGAAAGCCCUCAGCUCAACUGAGGAAGUGCGCCCGAAACUGCAGAGCUUGAGUGCCGGAGAGGGUGGCGGAAUUCCCCAAGUAGAGGUGAAAUUCGUAGAUAUGGGGUGGAACACCGGUGGCGAAGGCGGCCAUCUGGAACGGUACUGACGCUGAGACGCGAAAGCGUGGGGAGCAAACAGG
rnacentral:rRNA from 1 species